rnacentral:rRNA from 1 species
CUGGCUCAGGAUGAACGCUAGCGGCAGGCUUAACACAUGCAAGUCGAGGGGCAACGCGAGUAGCAAUACUUGGCGGCGACCGGCGCAAGGGUGCGUAACGCGUGAGCAACAUGCCCGUAUCAGGGGGAUAAUCCAGGGAAACUUGGUCUAAUACCCCAUAGUAAUUUUGUAAGGCAUCUUAUAAGAUUUAAAGCUUUGGUGGAUACGGAUUGGCUCGCGUGACAUUAGCUGGAUGGUAAGGUAACGGCUUACCAUGGCUACGAUGUCUAGGGGUUCUGAGAGGAAGGUCCCCCACACUGGAACUGAGACACGGUCCAGACUCCUACGGGAGGCAGCAGUGAGGAAUAUUGGACAAUGGAUGGAAAUCUGAUCCAGCCAUGCCGCGUGAAAAGGAAGAAGGUCCUAUGGAUUGUAAACUUCUUUUGUAUGGGAGCAAUAAGGCCUACGAGUAGGUUGAUGAGAGUACCAUACGAAUAAGCACCGGCUAACUCCGUGCCAGCAGCUGC